UUUGGUAGAACGUUUGCGGAUAUACAAUGUACCUUCAAAAUAAUUUUUUUGGGACCUUGUUGGUGUUUCUAUGUUUAUUUACACUGGGAUGUAAAAUUGAAAGUAAUACUUUUAAAGAACUUCUAGUUCACAUUUUUCAACAAUCAGAUGUUGCCCUGCAUGAUACAUGUAAAAUUUUACCUGUUUAUGUUCUCCUUUUUUCUUUUUUUUUGGCCAAAUAUUUUUUUUGCAUCCUUAAGUUUAUAUGGCAACAUAUUUUUUUCUUUCUAAUUUCCCCCCUAAAUCUUAUUUUUAAUAUUUUUUAAACUUGGGAAUUUUCAUUUUUUUCAUUUUUUGGUAAAAAAAUUAUUCUUCACUGGACUUGGUGAACUAUGGUCAGUAUCGGGCCCACUGCCUGCCUAAGAGGGGCCCGAGUACAUAAUGCUUCAGUGAUUCAUAUAAACAACCAGAUUUUUUUCUCAAAAGGGGGGGCCCCCCUCCUUAAUUCACCUCUGAUGCUAAUUAAGGUAUCAUAUUGCAGGAUCUUGCUUCUUAAAAAGUUAAAAAUAAGACUUUUCUCUGCAAAGCUUUUACCAGCUAGUUGAACCCUGAUUAGGUUGAAAAAAAUCAGAUGCAGAUUCCAGCUUUUUUAGAGGGGGGGGGGGUAAAAAAAUGACAAAUCUUGGAUAAAAUGGAGGAAGGAAAUGUGGAAUGUGUCAAAGAGACAACAACCCGCCCAAAGAGCAAAUAACAGCCAAAUUGUUAAAACUUCUGUGCAUUAACAAAUAUGUAUAACCCUAAUGCCAGUAAAUGGUGGCUUGGGGUUUGGCAUCCUGCUCCAUCAAAUCAACCCAGAAAUUAGAUUCUUGUAUAAGUUGACAUUCUUGCAAAUUCUGUCUUGGAAUGACUUCUCUGAUUAGCAAUUCAUAAUCUUAAUAAAAUAUCGAUUACUUGUAUAUAAUUUCUAGAAUAUUUGCAAACAUGUGUAUAAUCUAAUUUUAGAAUCAUAACUAACCCAAGAAAAUGGAAAUGAAAAGAAAAGGUUACUUUCCAGUCAAGUGAUGAGCAUACUUACUAAAUACUGAAGGUGUUCUAGAUACUGAUGUUCACAGGAUUGAUACAUGUAGGUAUAUAUUAGUUAGUAAAAUCAGUGAAACCAUUAUUUAAAAUUAAACAUUUAUAGUUACACUUUAGUAUGCACAGACUCAGUUGAAAAGUAGUUGAAAAUCUGAAAAUGACACACACUUAAUAGCCAAGGGACAGUGAACAGGUCUUCUUUGAUGCGCUGAAUAUAAACAUGUAUUUAGAUUUUUUAUUUGUGCCCAGUUUUCUGUUUUUUCAUUUAAAUAUAUGCAUUUUCAAUUGUUGCACGUGACACUUGGCAGCUUCAAUAAGAUAUUGAAAAUGUUUUCAUUAUGACAACUCCAAAUCUUGUAUUGUUUUGCUCAGCUCAACCACCUCAAUUAUUUGUAUGUGUCUGAACUCUGAAGACUACAUGUUUUGUCCCAUCAUUGUGUUACAUAGACUUACACAUGGUCCCACAUCUCGCUUAUUCAUAUCUAUAUAUAUUAAAAUGAAGAUGUAGCAUGAUUGCUAAUGAGACAACCCUCAACAUUGACAGUGAUAUUGUUGGCUUUUUUCAAAACUACCUCUACCCUUUUUUAUUGGGAAAAUAUGCGUUAUUUUCAUAAAAUUGGGAAAUUUAAAAUAAAGCAUGAAUUUGACUGAAACUUCAAUUUACAGACCCAUUUUCAAGAGUCAAAUCCUGCUUUAAGAUAAGACCCCAUUUUGUCAGUGGUGAUACAUAAAUAGACCCUCAAAUGUGCACAUAUAAACAUUUGAGGCAUGAACAUUUUUUAAGUCGUGUUUUUCAGUUUGUAUUCAUGCACAAUUACUACUAAGAUUGCACUGUUUGGGAAAAAGUUGUCUUUUGGGAAUAAUUUUAAGCCUUUUUUUUUCAAAUUGGGAUUCUUCUCCAAGCCUUUAAUUAUACUCCAUUAAUUUAAGGCAAACAAUAUCACUGAUUGAAGAGACCAAAUGGCACCGUAAUUAACAACCAUAUAGUUUAAAACAAAAUGUCACCAAAACAAAAUCAUUGGGUUUUCUGUAUCAUCUGUUACAUGUAUGAGAAACAUAGAUUUCAUAGUACUUUUAUUUUCAGGCAAGUAUUCACUGUGUAACCGAGUAAAAUUCUAGAUGAGUGAAUGGAUUGACGAAGUAGAUUCCAGUAAAACAUUAUUAAGAAAGAAUAAUAUACAACAAGUGUUGGUGAAAUAUUAUCAGGUAAAACAUUAUAUGAUCCAUCAUAAAGAAUGUUAUAUAUUGAAAUCAUUUUUUUUUCUGACCCUGCCGUACGGAGGGGGGGGGGUAUUAAGUUUUACCCUUUUCUGUCUAUACGUCAGUCCGUAUGUCCUAAAGUUGGUUUCUGUUCUCUUACUUUAGUUUGCCUCAAUCAAAUGUUAUGAAACUUAUACACAAUGUUUGUUUCCACAAAACACAGAUCUACAUGUAUUUUUAAUUUUGGUGGCCUUGCUUAAACCGUUCCAGAGUUGAGUUGUGCCCCUUAAAAAUGGAAAAAUUGCUGAAUUUUUCGUUUCCAUUGGCUAACUUUAGUUUGCCUCAAACAAGUGCUAUGAAACUUAUACCCAAUGCUAAAAUAACACAAAAUAGUCAAAUACAGAUCAAGUUUGAAUUUUGGAGGUGUCAUGUAAAUGGUUUUAGAGUUAUGCCCCUUUACAAAUGAAAGAAUUGCUGAUAUUUUCGUUUCCAUUCUCUAACUGAAGUUUGCCUCAACCAAUUUUUAUGAAACAUAUUAUGUCAUAUACCGGUACACAAUAUUUAUUACCACAAAACUCUGUUCAAGUACAAAUUUGGGUAGCGUCACUAUUACCAUUCUUCAGUUAUGUUUUUUUAUAACUUACAUGAUAUGCAAGCUGGGGCAUCAUCUGUGUGCAUGGGCCACAUUCCUCAUUUAUUUAUUAUUUGUUUAGUUGUAUGUUUUAAAGUUAAGUUUGGCAGUAAUUUUUUCUCACUUGUGUAAUGAUUGCCAAUGAAACAAUCCACCAGUGGAUGCAUGCAAUUACAGGCAAAUGUAUGGCUUUCAACAAUGAGAAAAACCCAUACCAUGUGGUCUGCUAUAAAAAGCACCGACACUAAAAAUAUGAAACAGGUCAAUUGAGAAAACUGACAGCCUAAUUAAUAACAAAACUAUUUACAAAAAACAAAAAAACAACUGAAAUGAACAUAAGAUACAGUGAAAUACAGGCUCCUUGCUUGGGACAGGUACAUAUAAAAUGUGGCUGGGUUAAACCAAUAUCAAGACAUCAACCCUACCCCUUACCUUGUACAGUGAUGUAACAGUACAACACAAGAACAAAAUAUAAGAAUCAGUUGAAAAGAGCUUAGCUCUUCAGCUUGAUACAAUGCAGGAAACAACUAACAAAAACAGAUGUGUCAGGGAAUAUAUAUACAUCCCUCAAAACAAAAUUGCCUCAAAAGUACAACCUGAGAGAAGUCAGUACUAGCAGUUACUGACAGCUAGUUCAAAGCCAGUUACAACAAUUAACUUAUCACAUUCUUCCAAACACAGAUUUUGUGAGAAGACCCAUUGAUGGCCUUGGCCUGUUUUCUGCUCUGGUCAAUUUAUUGUCUUUUUGGCACAUUUCCCAUUUUUAUUCUCUAUUCUACAUAUAUUCAAAUGUCUCUAAAGAAACUAAAUAAAGUUACAUAAAAUAUUUAACCUACCUGUUUUUCUUCUCGACUUUCUUCAUAGUUCUCAUUAAAACCGUGGUUCACUAAAAUAAUAUUCCGCAAAAUGUCAAUGAAGCAAUGGCAUGUAUCAUAAUGAAAAGAACCAGAUUCAGUAUUCUCUGUUGUCCUUUGAGCAACAUGUUAUUAGGGAUAUAGAAAUACUGGGCGUCUUUCUGUCUGGUCUUGUUAGCGCUCUUGCAUGUACAAUUUAGAAUUUUAUGAAACUUUAUUAAGCAAUGUCUUAGACCAGUUCAAAAAUCAGUGCCAUUUAGUUAUUUUUAAAAGAGUUGUGCCCCUUGAAAACAUUAUUUAUAUUGAACAUUGCAUUGUAAGCACUCUUAUGUGUACAAUUUUCGCGAGAUUAUAUGAAAAUUAUAUCAGUUUGACAAGUUUGAAAAUCAGUGCUGAUCAAAUAUAUUUAAGAGAGUUAUUUAUGUCCCUUGGAAAUAUUAGUUAUAUGGAACAUUGACUCCUGAGCACUCUGAUAUGUGCAGAUUUUUAUGAAAUUUACAUUAAAGGUUUAUAUCAUCAAUGUCUCAGCCAAAUUCCAAAAUCAGUGCUGAUGAAUUAUUUUUUAAAGAGUAAUGCCCCCUGGAAAUAUUGUUUUUUUUAUGGUAAACUGCAUUGAUAGCUCUAAUAUGUAAACAAUUUUGACAGAUUUUUAUGAAAAUAAUAUCAUAGGUUAAUAUCAGCAAUGUAUUUGACCAAAAAGUACCAAAAAAAAGAAGUGUUUGUUUGUUAGUUAUUGCCCUUGUAAUUUGGAUUGAUAAAAGUAUAUGCCUAUUUAUUUCAGACAUAAAAAUACCAAGUUAUGUGCCAGAUAUGUACUACCAGAAAGUGAAAGAAGUUGAAUAUAUAAAUUAUAAUGGACAGUAUCAGUGAUAUAACAAUAGACAUACAGAUUAAUUUAGGUUAAAGAAGUUCCUCUAACCAUCCAGACUACAUCAACUGUAAAGAAAUAUUCAGAAAUAAUAUCAGAGGAGACUUGUAUGGUGGAUGACCAUUUUUUCAAGAGUAACAUCAUGGAUAUUAAUAUGUAUUGGACAUAUAUACGAA
rnacentral:lncRNA from 1 species